CCGUACUAGACGGGGAGGUAGCGGUGCCCUGUACUCGCAAUCCGCUAUAGCGAGGUCGAAUACCUUUACGAGGGGAUUGUUUUGGAGGUCAGCCUACCAUAAGUGGUGUUGAUUGCUGGGCCCUUCGCAACGGAAACUCAUGAAUCCCGUCAGAUCCGGAAGGAAGCAGCGGUAAGUGAAUCUUUUCGUGUGCCGAAGGUCUACCUGGCAGGAGCUAACUGUGGUUAGUAACGCUUGGAGAUAGUUUUCGAAUUUAGGUGUACGG
rnacentral:SRP_RNA from 1 species